UACGUAGGAGGCGAACGUUAUUCGGAUUUACUGGGCGUAAAGGGAGCGUAGGCGGCUCCUUAAGUCAGAUGUGAAAUCUUCUGACUCAAUCAGAAGGCGCCAUUUGAUACUGGGGGGCUUGAGAGCAGCAGAGGGAAAUGGAAUCUCCAGUGUAGCGGUGAAAUGCGUAGAUAUUGGGGAGAACACCAGUGGCGAAGGCGAUUUCCCAGGUUGUUUCUGACGCUGAGGCUCGAAAGCGUGGGGAGCGAAGCGGAUUAGAUACCCGCGUAGUCCACGCCCUAAACGGUGGACACUAGAUAUAGGAGGUAUCGACCCUUUCUGUGUCGAAGCUAACGCUUUAAGUGUCCCGCCUGGGGAGUACGGCCGCAAGGCUGAAACUCAAAGGAAUUGACGGGGGCCCGCACAAGCAGCGGAGCGUGUGGUUUAAUUCGAUGCUACGCGAAGAACCUUACCAGGGCUUGACAUGUCAGAAGUAGGAAUUCGAAAGGAAGACGACCUGUAUCCAGUCAGGAGCUGUCACAGGUGCUACAUGGCUGUCGUCAGCUCGUGCCGUGAGGUGUUGGGUUAAGUCCCGCAACGAGCGCAACCCUUGUCCUAUGUUAAAUUCUCAUAGGAGACUGCCUUGUACAGCAAGGAGGAAGGAGAGGAUGACGUCAAGUCAGCACGGCCUUUAUGUCCUGGGCUACACACACGCUACAAUGGACGAUACAGAGGGUUGCCAAGGAGUGAUCUGGAGCUAAUCCCAGAAAAUCGUCCUCAGUUCGGAUUGCAGGCUGAAAUCGCCUGCAUGGAGUCGGAGUUGCUAGUAACCGCAGGUCAGCUAUACUGCGGUGAAUACGUUCUCGGGCCU
rnacentral:rRNA from 1 species